UAUCCUAACCGUGCGAAGGUAGCGUAAUCACUUGUCCUUUAAAUGAGGACUGGUAUGAACGGCUUCACGAAGGCUACACUGUCUCCUUUUUCUAAUCAGUAAAACUAAUCUCCCCGUGAAGAAGCGGGGAUUCGCCUAUAAGACGAGAAGACCCUAUGGAGCUUUAAACAAUUGUUUACACUUGCCUUCAUAUUUUAUUAUAUUUAACCAAGCAUUAUGUUUCUAGUUUUAGGUUGGGGUGACCAUGGAGAAAAACUUAUCCUCCACAUUGAAAGAAAUUUUAUUUCUUAGCAAAAAGUUACAUCUUGAUGCACCAACAAAUUGACCUUAAUUGACCCAAUAAUUUGAUCAACGAACCAAGUUACCCUAGGGAUAACAGCGCAAUCCACUUCAAGAGCUCUUAUCGACAAGUGGGUUUACGACCUCGAUGUUGGAUCAGGGUGUCCCAGUGGUGCAGCCGCUA
rnacentral:rRNA from 1 species